AUGUUGACUAACCCUACUAAUGGUCUCCAUGAGCUUUGUGAUGAUGCAGAAGAAAACAGUGCAAAAAUCAUAGAAAAUAAUGAAGAAAAUGGCGCCGCAGACCCUUAUUUCAUGUGUCAUGGCUCGGGGGACAUAUCCACCUCGGGAUCAGCGCAGGUGCUGCAGCCAGGCAGCAGAUCUUCCUCGGAUCCCGCGCCUGGCAAUGAUUCUGCCGCGCCAGCCAAAACAGGAGCAGGCAGGCGCGCCGCCGAAUCUGCACCAGCCACGCGGCAGAACCUGGCGGGCGGCAGCGCUUCCCCUCGUGCGCGCGACUCCGCGCCUGACAAGCGGCGGGCCGGUACUGGCUUGGGCCGCGUUCAGAGUCAGGCCCAACUGCGUGUGUACACACGUCGUGCCGCUACUCGUCAAGCGGACGCAGGGGCAAAUUUGCUCAGCCCGGGGCCCAGGCAAUCAUUGGGCCAUGAUGACGCCUCCAGGCCCGGAUCUUCUGCGGUGAUAUCGGCUUCCACACCACGACCCACGACCACAGAAGAUCCCGCUUCGACAUCGCCUGGUGAUUAUAAACACGUUAUAAAAUAUGGGCUGGUAUGUUCUACAGGUGAACCAGGAGAACCCAAUACACUUGAGGAAGCUUUGGGUGAUGCAAAUUGGAGAAAAGCAAUGCAUGAUGAAAUCAUAGCACUUAAGGAAAAUAGAACAUGGCACUUGGUUCCUUCACAACGAGGUAAAAAUCUUAUUGACUGCAAGUGGGUUUUUAGGAUUAAAAGGAAAGCUGAUGGAACCAUUGACCGUUACAAAGCUAGACUCGUUGCAAAGGGUUUUAAACAACGGUAUGGUAUUGACUAUGAGGACACGUUUAGUCCAGUUGUAAAGGCUGCUACUAUUCGUCUUGUUUUGUCCAUUGUUGUGUCCAGGGGAUGGAGUCUACGUCAGCUAGAUGUUCAGAACGCGUUCCUCCUUGGUGUUCUGGAAGAAGAGGUUUACAUGAAACAACCACCUGGGUUUGUAAACACACAUGCACCACUUCAUGUGUGCAAACUUGACAAGGCGUUGUAUGGACUAAAGCAGGCACCAAGAGCAUGGUAUUCUCGUCUCAGUAAGAAGAUUCAAGCACUUGGUUUUGUUCCCUCAAAGUCUAACACGUCAUUGUUCAUUUAUAACAAAUCAAGUAUAUCCAUAUAUGUUCUCAUAUAUGUUGAUGAUAUAAUUGUGACAAGCUCAUCUGAUGAAGCUAUAACUGCACUGUUGAAAGAUUUGAGUACAUAA
rnacentral:rRNA from 1 species